UACGUAGGGUGCGAGCGUUGUCCGGAAUUAUUGGGCGUAAAGAGCUCGUAGGCGGUUUGUCGCGUCGGGAGUGAAAACCCAGGGCUUAACCCUGGGCUGGCUUUCGAUACGGGCAGACUAGAGGUAUGCAGGGGAGAACGGAAUUCCUGGUGUAGCGGUGAAAUGCGCAGAUAUCAGGAGGAACACCGGUGGCGAAGGCGGUUCUCUGGGCAUUACCUGACGCUGAGGAGCGAAAGUGUGGGGAGCGAACAGG
rnacentral:rRNA from 1 species